UACGAAGGGGGCUAGCGUUGCUCGGAAUUACUGGGCGUAAAGCGCGCGUAGGCGGCUCGGCAAGUCGGGCGUGAAAUGCCGGGGCUCAACCCCGGGACUGCGUCCGAUACUUCCGAGCUGGAGGUAGGUAGGGGAGAUCGGAAUUCCUGGUGUAGCGGUGAAAUGCGCAGAUAUCAGGAGGAACACCGGUGGCGAAGGCGGAUCUCUGGGCCUUACCUGACGCUGAGGCGCGAAAGCUAGGGGAGCGAACAGG
rnacentral:rRNA from 1 species